rnacentral:rRNA from 1 species
CAGCCGCCGCGGUAACACGAAGGGUGCAAGCGUUACUCGGAAUUACUGGGCGUAAAGCGUGCGUAGGUGGUGGUUUAAGUCCGUUGUGAAAGCCCUGGGCUCAACCUGGGAAUUGCAGUGGAUACUGGGUCACUAGAGUGUGGUAGAGGAUAGUGGAAUUUCCGGUGUAGCAGUGAAAUGCGUAGAGAUCGGAAGGAACAUCUGUGGCGAAGGCGACUAUCUGGGCCAACACUGACACUGAGGCACGAAAGCGUGGGGAGCAAACAGGAUUAGAGACCCGAGUAGUCCCUGUCUCUUAUAC